GCCCGGUUAGCUCAGUUGGUAGAGCAUCAGACUUUUAAUCUGAGGGCCAUGGGUUCGUGUCCCAUAUCGGGCU
rnacentral:tRNA from 1 species